AAUCAACGCUGGCGGCGUGCCUAACACAUGCAAGUCGAACGCGAAAGUCCCGCAAGGGAUGAGUAGAGUGGCAAACGGGUGAGUAACACGUGGGUGACCUGCCUUCGAGCGGGGGAUAACGUCCCGAAAGGGACGCUAAUACCGCAUGACAUCCUGCCUUUGAAGAGGUGGAGAUCAAAGCUGGGGAUCGCAAGACCUAGCACUUGAAGAGGGGCCCGCGUCUGAUUAGCUAGUUGGUGGGGUAACGGCUCACCAAGGCAACGAUCAGUAUCCGGCCUGAGAGGGCGGACGGACACACUGGGACUGAGACACGGCCCAGACUCCUACGGGAGGCAGCAGUGGGGAAUCUUGCGCAAUGGGCGAAAGCCUGACGCAGCGACGCCGCGUGAGGGAUGACGGCC
rnacentral:rRNA from 1 species